rnacentral:rRNA from 1 species
AAUCGACUCUCGGCAACGGAUAUCCCGGCUCUCGCAUCGAUGAAGAACGUAGCGAAAUGCGAUACUUGGUGUGAAUUGCAGAAUCCCGUGAACCAUCGAGUUUUUGAACGCAAGUUGCGCCCGAUGCCAUUAGGCUGAGGGCACGUCUGCCUGGGUGUCACGU